rnacentral:rRNA from 1 species
AUGCCUAACACAUGCAAGUCGAACGAGACCUUCGGGUCUAGUGGCGCACGGGUGCGUAACGCGUGGGAAUCUGCCCUUAGGUCCGGAAUAACUCAGGGAAACUUGAGCUAAUACCGGAUGAUGUCUUCGGACCAAAGAUUUAUCGCCUAGGGAUGAGCCCGCGUCGGAUUAGCUAGUUGGUGAGGUAAAAGCUCACCAAGGCGACGAUCCGUAGCUGGUCUGAGAGGAUGAUCAGCCACACUGGGACUGAGACACGGCCCAGACUCCUACGGGAGGCAGCAGUGGGGAAUAUUGGACAAUGGGCGAAAGCCUGAUCCAGCAAUGCCGCGUGAGUGAUGAAGGCCUUAGGGUUGUAAAGCUCUUUUACCCGGGAUGAUAAUGACAGUACCGGGAGAAUAAGCACCGGCUAAC